rnacentral:rRNA from 1 species
UACGUAGGGUGCGAGCGUUGUCCGGAAUUAUUGGGCGUAAAGGGCUCGUAGGCGGUUUGUCGCGUCGGGAGUGAAAACCAUGAGUUUAACUCAUGGCUUGCUUUCGAUACGGGCAGACUAGAGGUAUGCAGGGGAGAACGGAAUUCCUGGUGUAGCGGUGAAAUGCGCAGAUAUCAGGAGGAACACCGGUGGCGAAGGCGGUUCUCUGGGCAUUACCUGACGCUGAGGAGCGAAAGUGUGGGGAGCGAACAGG